CGAACGCUGGCGGCGUGCUUAACACAUGCAAGUCGAACGCGAAAGGGACUUCGGUCCUGAGUAAAGUGGCGGCACGGGUGAGUAACGCGUAGAUAACCUGUCUUCAUGUCUGGAAUAAUACGCCAAAGGGGUACUAAUACCGGAUAUCUUGCUUUUCAUAAGUUAUGCAAGCAAAGGUGGCCUCUGCAUAUGCUACUGCAUGAAGAGGGGUCUGCGUACCAUUAGCUAGUAGGUGGGGUAAUGGCCUACCUAGGCGACGAUGGUUAGCGGGUCUGAGAGGAUGAUCCGCCACACUGGCACUGGAACACGGGCCAGACUCCUACGGGAGGCAGCAGUGAGGAAUAUUGCGCAAUGGGGGAAACCCUGACGCAGCGACGCCGCGUGAGUGAGGAAAGGCCUUCGGGUCGUAAAGCUCUGUCAAGAGGAAAGAAGUGUACAAUGGCUAAUACCUGUUGUAUUUGACGGUACCUCUAAAGGAAGCACCGGCUAACUCCGUGCCAGCAGCUGC
rnacentral:rRNA from 1 species